rnacentral:rRNA from 1 species
GACGAACGCUGGCGGCGUGCUUAACACAUGCAAGUCGAACGGAAAGGCCCUGCUUUUGUGGGGUGCUCGAGUGGCGAACGGGUCACUAACACGUGAGUAACCUGCCCUUGACUUUGGGAUAGCUUCAGGAAACUGGUGCUAAUACCGGAUAGGAGCUCCUGCUGCAUGGUGGGGGUUGGAAAGUUUCGGCGGUUGGGGAUGGACUCGCGGCCUAUCAGCUUGUUGGUGGGGUAGUGGCUUACCAAGGCUUUGACGGGUAGCCGGCCUGAGAGGGUGACCGGCCACACUGGGACUGAGACACGGCCCAGACUCCUACGGGAGGCAGCAGUGGGGAAUAUUGCACAAUGGGCGGAAGCCUGAUGCAGCAACGCCGCGUGCGGGAUGACGGCCUUCGGGUUGUAAACCGCUUUCGGCUGGGACGAAGCGUGAGUGACGGUAACUGGAGAAGAAGCGCCGGCUAACUACGUG